CGGAGGGAUCAUUACUGAGUUUACGCUCUACAACCCUUUGUGAACAUACCUAUAACUGUUGCUUCGGCGGGUAGGGUCUCCGCGACCCUCCCGGCCUCCCGCCUCCGGGCGGGUCGGCGCCCGCCGGAGGAUAACCAAACUCUGAUUUAACGACGUUUCUUCUGAGUGGUACAAGCAAAUAAUCAAAACUUUUAACAACGGAUCUCUUGGUUCUGGCAUCGAUGAAGAACGCAGCGAAAUGCGAUAAGUAAUGUGAAUUGCAGAAUUCAGUGAAUCAUCGAAUCUUUGAACGCACAUUGCGCCCGCCAGCAUUCUGGCGGGCAUGCCUGUUCGAGCGUCAUUUCAACCCUCAAGCUCUGCUUGGUGUUGGGGCCCUACAGCUGAUGUAGGCCCUCAAAGGUAGUGGCGGACCCUCUCGGAGCCUCCUUUGCGUAGUAACUUUACGUCUCGCACUGAGAUCCGGAGGGACUCUUGCCGUAAAACCCCCAAUUUUCCAAAGGUUGACCUC
rnacentral:rRNA from 1 species